GAGAAAUUUAUAAAUAGAUUUAUACUGAAUGAAUUGAAACAUCUUAGUAAUUCAAGUGAAAAAAAAUCAACAGAGAUAUCAUAAGUAUUGGUGAGAGAAAUUGAUAUAGCCAUAUAUUAUAUAUAUUAAAUAUAUAUAAUAUAAAAUUAAGUAUUAUGUAGACAUAUAUGUAAGAAUAUAGGACAAACAAGUUCUAAGGCUAAAUACUAUUAAUAAAUAAAAAAGUACCGAGAGGGAAAUCCAAAUAUUAGUUAUUUUAUAAGCAGUUAUUAUAUUAAUUUAUUAAAUAACGUACCUUUUGUAUAAUGGGUCAGCAAGUUAUUAAUAUUAGCAAAAUGUAAAUUAUAAUUAAAUUGAAUAAUUAAAUAUUAUAUAUAUAUAUAUUAAAAGUUAAUAUUAAUUGACCCGAAAGCAAAUGAACUUAUUAUAAUCAGACGGAAACGGUCGAACAGGUUGAUGUUGCAAAAUCAUCUGAUGAAUUAUGAUAAGCAGAGAAAGUUGAAUCUAAUUUGCAGAUAGCUGGUUUUCUAUGAAAUAUAUGUAAGUAUAGCAAUUAAUAUAUUAAAUAAUAAAAUUAUUAAUAAUUUUUAAUGGUACAGCACUAUUUAUAUUUGGGAGAUUGAUAAAAUUUUAUCAAAUAUAUAUUAACCUCGAAAUUAAAAUAUUUAAUUAUUAAUUAGUCAGACUAUAUGCGAUAAGGUAGAUAGUCUAAAGGGAAACAGCCCAGAUUAAGAUAUAAGGUUCUAAAUUGAAUAAUUAUCGAUAUUAAUAUGAAAAUGUAUCUAUACAAUCAGUUAAUGGGUUUGACAAUAAUCACUUUUUAAUGAACAUGUAAAAAUGCACUGAUUAAUAUAUUUAAUGAACAUUUAUAAAUAAUUAAAAAUUAUUUCAUAAAUAAUAUAACGGAUCUGAGUAUUCAACCGAAUAUCUAAAUAUUAUAAUAAUAAUUAUUAUUAUUAUUAUAAUAUGGUAAUAGAAUAUCUAAUUAAAAUAAAAUAUAUAUAAAUUUUAUAUAAAAAAAGAAAUAUUUUAAAAAAUAAAAUAAAAAUAUAAUUAGAGAAAGAAUGCUGACAUGAGUAAUGAAAUAAGUGUAAACUUGACCUAAGUAGCAUAAAUUAUAAGAAUAAAGUCGGCAAAUAAUUUAAAUAAAUGUAUUAAAUAAUUAUAAUGAUAUUAUAAUUCUAAUUAAUUUUAAAAAAAUAAAUUUUAUUAUUAAUAUAAUAAUAUUAAUAAAUUAAUAAAAUUCAGGAAGAAAAAUUAAAAAUACCGUGAUGAUAGCCGACGCUGGUAUGCUAGUAGAGAAUAUGAAGGUUAUGUAACCAGAGAAUUAAAGAGAAGGAACUCGGCAAAAAUUGCUCCAAAGUUUGACAAUAACGGGAAGGAAAAAAACAAAGUUGUACAACUGUUUACUAAAAACACAGCACAUUGCUAAUAUGAAAAUAUUUGUAUAAUGUGUGAACUCUGCUCCAUGUUUAGGCAUAAAAAAAUAUUUUGAAAGAAAUAUUUCUAUAAAACUAAAUAAAUAGCAGCCUUAUCGUGAGGGUUAUAAUGUAGCGAAAUUCCUUGGCCAAUAAAUAUGGUCCAGCAUGAAUGACGUAAUGAUACAACAACUGUCUCCUCUUUAAACUGGGUGAAAUUG
rfam:Hanseniaspora osmophila strain AWRI3579 Hanseniaspora_osmophila_AWRI3579_scaffold288, whole genome shotgun sequence.